rnacentral:rRNA from 1 species
GGGGAAUUUUGGACAAUGGGCGCAAGCCUGAUCCAGCAAUGCCGCGUGAGUGAUGAAGGCCUUAGGGUUGUAAAGCUCUUUUACCCGGGAUGAUAAUGACAGUACCGGGAGAAUAAGCCCCGGUUAACUCCGUGCCAGCAGCCGCGGUAAUACGGAGGGGGCUAGCGUUGUUCGGAAUUACUGGGCGUAAAGCGCACGUAGGCGGCGAUUUAAGUCAGAGGUGAAAGCCCGGGGCUCAACCCCGGAACUGCCUUUGAGACUGGAUUGCUUGAACAUCGGAGAGGUGAGUGGAAUUCCGAGUGUAGAGGUGAAGUUCGUAGAUAUUCGGCGGAACACCAGUGGCGAAGGCGACUCACUGGCCCGAUACUGACGCUGAGGCGCGAAAGCGUGGGGAGCAAA